GGAUGUACCAUCCUCAAGAUGCAAAUUCCACAACAGAGCCUAACAGAACAGAUUUAGGCUGUUCUGCCUGGCUGCCUCAGGCAAACUGUCAGAACCAUCCAGCUGUCCCUGCUGUCAGUCCGCUCUCUAUGUGAGUUAUGUAUCUCUAAAGCUCUUCACCUGUCCUUGGCUAAUUCCGAAUUGUGGCGACCCUCCUCCACCCCAUUCACCUGCAUUUCAUCACUUCCAGCGCCCGGUCUGAGCUCACUAGAAGCCUGCUCCUCUGCUCAUCCAGAUCUCAGCCAUUCUCUUCAUCCCUUCACGACCUCCACCAGUGUCUACACUCUAUCAGGGGGGUAUCCUACACAAAACAUAACUUCACCAUCCAUGACAUCGUGAUGGGAUCUAAUUGCCAGACUAUUCACAUGUCAAUAAAAUGAUUUCUUCACUCUUAAUGAAGUCUCUUCUGA